rnacentral:rRNA from 1 species
CCUACGGGCGGCAGCAGUGGGGGAUAUUGCACAAUGGGGGGAACCCUGAUGCAGCGACGCCGCGUGGGUGAAGGAGCGUUUCGGCGCGUAAAGCCCUAUCGGCAGGGAAGAAGAUGACGGUACCUGACCAAGAAGCCCCGGCUAACUACGUGCCAGCAGCCGCGGUAAUACGUAGGGGGCAAGCGUUAUCCGGAUUUACUGGGUGGAAAGGGGGCGCAGACGGCAAUGCAAGCCAGGAGUGAAAGCCCGGGGCCCAACCCCGGGACUGCUCUUGGAACUGCAUGGCUGGAGUACAGGAGGGGGAGGCGGAAUUCCUAGGGUAGCGGUGAAAUGCGUAGAUAUUAGGAGGAACACCGGUGGCGAAGGCGGCCUGCUGGACUGUGACUGACGUUGAGGCCCGAAGGCGUGGGGAGCAAACAGGAUUAGAUACCCCGUGUAGUC